UACGAAGGGGGCUAGCGUUGUUCGGAUUUACUGGGCGUAAAGCGCACGUAGGCGGAUCGUUAAGUCGGGGGUGAAAUCCUGGAGCUCAACUCCAGAACUGCCUUCGAUACUGGGCGAUCUUGAGUCCGGAAGAGGUGAGUGGAACUCCUAGUGUAGAGGUGGAAUUCGUAGAUAUUAGGAAGAACAUCAGUGGCGAAGGCGGCUCACUGGUCCGGUACUGACGCUGAGGUGCGAAAGCGUGGGGAGCAAACAGG
rnacentral:rRNA from 1 species